rnacentral:rRNA from 1 species
AUUGAACGCUGGCGGCAGGCCUAACACAUGCAAGUCGAGCGAGCGGCGGACGGGGGAGUAAUGUAUGGGGACUGCCCGAUAGAGGGGGAUAACACUUGGAAAAGGGGUCUAAUACCGCGCACUGUCGGAUUACCCAUGUGGGAGUAGCUAGUGGGUAGGGUAAUGGCUUACCUAGGCGACGAUCCCUAGCGGGUCUGAGAGGAGGAUCAGCCACCCUGGGACUGAGACACGGCCCAGACUCCUACGGAGGCAGCAGUGGGGAAUAUUGGACAAUGGGCGCAAGCCUGAUGCAGCCAUGCCGCGUGUAUGAAGAAGGCCCUAGGGUUGUAAAGUACUUUCAGUCGAGAGGCGUUACCUACAGAAGAAGCACCGGCUAACUCCGUGCCAGCAGCCGCGGUAAUAC